GAUGAACGCUAGCUACAGGCUUAACACAUGCAAGUCGAGGGGUAACAAGAGGAAAGCUUGCUUUCUUUGUUGACGACCGGCGCACGGGUGAGUAACGCGUAUCCAACCUGCCUAUAACUAGGGAAUAACCUUGCGAAAGUAAGACUAAUACCCUAUGAUUUCCUUUGAUGACAUCAGAUUAGGAAUAAAGAUUUAUCGGUUAUAGAUGGGGAUGCGUCUGAUUAGGUUGUUGGCGGGGUAACGGCCCACCAAGGCAACGAUCAGUAGGGGUUCUGAGAGGAAGGUCCCCCACAUUGGAACUGAGACACGGUCCAAACUCCUACGGGAGGCAUCAGUGAGGAAUAUUGGUCAAUGGGCGGAAGCCUGAACCAGCCAUGUAGCGUGCAGGAUGACGGCCCUAUGGGUUGUAAACUGCUUUUAUACAGGAAUAAAGUUAGCCACGUGUGGUUAUUUGUAGGUACUGUAUGAAUAAGGACCGGCUAAUUCCGUGCCAGCAGCCGCCGUAA
rnacentral:rRNA from 1 species